UACGUAGGCAGCGAGCGUUGUUCGGAUUUACUGGGCGUAAAGGGUGUGUAGGCGGUUGUUUAAGUUUGGUGUGAAAUCUCCCGGCUCAACUGGGAGGGUGCGCCGAAUACUGAAUGACUUGGAGUGCGGGAGAGGUGAGUGGAAUUCCUGGUGUAGCGGUGAAAUGCGUAGAUAUCAGGAGGAACACCGGUGGUGUAGACGGCUCACUGGACCGUAACUGACGCUGAGACACGAAAGCGUGGGUAGCAAACAGG
rnacentral:rRNA from 1 species